UAGGUUCAAUUACAGCCCCUAUUAAUGAGGAAACAGAGAAGGCAACGAUUUCAAAAUUCUCAGAAAAUCGUUUCUAGCCAAAAUUUGUAUCUGGACAUCCAAAAGUCGCCAUAUGAAACGAACCUUUAUUGAAGAAAACAAAAAGUGCUCUUUUGUAACAACAAUAAAAGCAACAAAAAGAACCGCAAUUGACGUUCCACUCUUCCUCCUACAGCCUACAGGGUUUUGAUCUACUAAGAACGAGCGGAUAUGUUUUAAUAUAGGUGGACGAAUCGUUAGCAGAGGCAUCUCUCUUUUGGUGAGAACUGAACUAAGUUGUGAAUUUUUUUUACUCAAUUUAGUUUUUUUCCCUGAAUAAUUCGGAAAGAUGGCUUUUUUUGGGUGAGUUUCAGAACCAUUUCUUCAAAAAGUGAAAAGACACCUUCUCUUGAUGAUUUUUUCCACAUCUAAGUUUGUUUUCACAUCCUCGCAGUCUAAGGUAUAUACUCCACAAAAUUAUUAAACUCCUGCUUUUGAAAGUUAAAAUUCUCUCUUAUAAUGUUAGGCCCACGUUAAUUAUCUCUUCUUCUUUUUCUUUUUUUUUUAUUUCUGUCCACUUUAUUCGGUGCCCGGAACUCUAAUUAGUUGAAGUGUUGACAGCUCAUGGGCAGACAUUCAUUGUUUGUCACUUGAACAAUAUGUGUGUAGAUAUUUUAACAAAUACGUAUUUUUCUUAAGUUACAAUCAUUGUAAAAAAAAUUAAAAUAAUAAUAAUAAUAAUUUAGUGGGGGAGAUGAUAUUCUUGUAAAAGCUUCUGCUUCUUCUUCUUAUCUUACUGAUAUCCUUAUUUUUUGGCUUUAAUUCACUGCAUUUAAUGUGCGUGUCUCUUUAGAGGUAUGUUUUCAAAAAUAUCUAAUUUUUAUAUUUUCCUAUAUUGGUAAUUUUUUGGUCUGUAGCACCUAAAUGUAACUUGGAUCCCGUGCAAAAAUGGAUCCCAUAUUUAAUGUAAUCUGCAAUAUGGAUCUAGAAUAAUCAGUUUUGACGGUGUUAUUCCUGGCUAGAACCAACAUAAGACUACACGAUCACGGGCACAACAUAGAUGAUAGGGACUAAACAGCUGCAUAAUGGGUGAGAUGGCUAGAAUCCGGAGAGUGCAACUUUAAUUUCAAGAAGUUUUGAUGAAUGAUCGUAAAACUAUUUCAUUUGGAAGAUGAAAAGUGACGCUUAAUGUGAGAAAGAGACAACAAGAUCAAUGGUGAAACAAUUGACUUGUAAUGUUGCAAGCUUUCUUUUAUUGUAGUUGUGUAGAUAUAUUGGAACUCAAAUUACUUUGAAUCUUAGUAUUGAGGACUACAGAUUACUACAAGAUUAACAACAAUGAAAAGUUUCGGGAUGAAAUGGAAGGAAAGGAAAGGAAAAGAAAAGAACAUGUGGAUGGUUUUUGCUGCUGAAAAAUGAGUAUUUUUCUUUGUUGCACACACCUUAAAAACUAAAGGCUGCCUUGUGAAAUAUGGAGCGAGCUAUAGUUAGGAUAUUAUUACUCUAGAAAUGUAUUCAUUGGUUUGUCUUUUUUCUUUUCAAAAUUAAUUAUUUAAUUCGAUUUCGUUUGAUUUCUAAUUGUGGAAUUGGGAACGUAAUCAAUACUACAAUAUUCUUAAAUACCACUUCCAAAGUUCUUUUACAUUUCAUUCAUUUAUAAUCCUCUUAAUUUAUUUCUCUUACUUUCCGCAAUUGCGUUACAACUUUUCGAAUUCGGUAUAACUCCUUUUCGUUCUUCCUAGACUCUCUAACUUUAUAAGCUCUUAUUUAUUAACUUAAUUGAGAUUGAUUAUUACAAAGGGAAAAAAAGAGGAGGGUUUCAGAUUACACUAUAUUAAUCAACAAGAUAAUAGCACGUUUAUUUGUUUAAGAGACAUUGAUCUUCUCUUAUGAAGAGUAUGAACUCACUUAACUCUCUAUUGAAAGAAAAGAAAAGUUGAAUACUUAUACACAUAUAUAUUGGAUGGAAAGUUAGAUAAAGAUACGAACUUUUAGUGUUAAUAAUAAAAAGGAUUAAAACUUAAAGCCUGAUCUGUUUGAAUCUGAAUACUAAAAGGAAUUUUUAAAACACUGUUAAUAUUUGGAUAUUAAAGAAUAUUAUUUUGGUAAAUAAUUUAAAUUGUGGUCUAUCAAGAUCGCGCGAAGCGCGAUAAAUUCACUAGUUUAUUUAUAUUUAAAGGAUCGGAGAAACAAGGGACACAAUAUAUAAGGGGAACAAAAUUUGAAGGAGUGAUUAUGCGGAGGUUGUAUCUUUCUAACAUUAAUUAUUGUCCUGCCUAGCUACUCAGAUUAAUCUUUUACAGUCCGGUCACUAAUUAUUCAGACUAUUUGGAGCAAAUGGAGAAGAUCAGUACAUAUCCAGAAUCAACUUUGGAGGUCUCCACUCUCCACUCUCCAUAGAGAAUGAUGUUUUAACUAAUUAUGGUUAUUCCUAAGAAAGAGAUCAAGGAAAAAGAAGAUCAAAUUAAACUAUUACUUCAAAGAUCACCCAAGUGCUUUAUUAUU